GCAGCAGCCGCAGAGGGCGCUGGCGAGCCAUUGUAGAGGGCACCACCGUCCAGUCAUGGCCUCGGUUGUGCCGUAAGAUAUCAGCUGAUCGUUACGUGGCUAACAGCUGAUCGAUGCGCAGAGCCCAGAGGUCAAACGGGUCAAGCGGCGCAAUGGAGGAAUGGUGUUAAUUACGUACGAAUAUACAGCUACAAACUGAC